GCGCAUUCUUGGACUUAAAGAGACACUUCAGGCACCAUAACAACUUAAUCUGAACGGUUUCUAGAGCAGUGUUCCCCAACCCAAUCGCUAUGGACCACCAACAGUCCAGGAUUUAUGCAUUUCCCUGUUUUAUUCCAGUGGAGGUACUGAUAAAAUCCUGGACUGUUUGUGGUCCAUGAGGACUGGGUUGGGGAACACUGGUCUAGAGGACCUGAAUACCAACUUACCUUACGGGGUUAAUCAUUUAACAGACACA